UGGGGAAUGAUUGCACAAUGGGCGAAAGCCUGAUGCAGCAACGCCGCGUGAGUGAUGAAGGCCUUCGGGUUGUAAAGCUCUGUCUUUUGGGACGAUAAUGACGGUACCAAAGGAGGAAGCCACGGCUAACUACGUGCCAGCAGCCGCGGUAAUACGUAGGUGGCAAGCGUUGUCCGGAUUUACUGGGCGUAAAGGAUGCGUAGGCGGAUUUUUAAGUGAGAUGUGAAAACCCUAGCUUAACUUGGGGACUGCAUUUCAUACUGGAAAUCUAGAGUGCGGGAGAGGAGAAUGGAAUUCCUAGUGUAGCGGUGAAAUGCGUAGAGAUUAGGAAGAACACCAGUGGCGGAGGCGAUUCUCUGGACCGUAACUGACGCUGAGGCAUGAAAGCGUGGGUAGCAAACAGGAUUAGAUACCCUGGUAGUCCACGCCGUAAACGAUGAGUACUAGGUGUAGGAGGUAUCGACCCCUUCUGUGCCGCAGUUAACACAAUAAGUACUCCGCCUGGGAAGUACGAUCGCAAGAUUAAAACUUAAAGG
rnacentral:rRNA from 1 species